rnacentral:rRNA from 1 species
AACGAACGCUGGCGGCAUGCCUAACACAUGCAAGUCGAACGAGACCUUCGGGUCUAGUGGCGCACGGGUGCGUAACGCGUGGGAACCUGCCCUUAGGUUCGGAAUAACUCCCCGAAAGGGGUGCUAAUACCGGAUAAUGUCUUCGGACCAAAGAUUUAUCGCCUUUGGAUGAGCCCGCGUUGGAUUAGCUAGUUGGUAGGGUAAAAGCCUACCAAGGCGACGAUCCAUAGCUGGUCUGAGAGGAUGAUCAGCCACACUGGGACUGAGACACGGCCCAGACUCCUACGGGAGGCAGCAGUGGGGAAUAGUGGACAAUGGGCGAAAGCCUGAUCCAGCAAUGCCGCGUGAGUGAUGAAGGCCUUAGGGUUGUAAAGCUCUUUUACCCGGGAUGAUAAUGACAGUACCGGGAGAAUAGGCUCCGGCUAACUCCGUG